rnacentral:rRNA from 1 species
GAUGAACGCUGGCGGCGUGCCUAAUACAUGCAAGUCGAGCGAAUGGAUUAAGAGCUUGCUCUUAUGAAGUUAGCGGCGGACGGGUGAGUAACACGUGGGUAACCUGCCCAUAAGACUGGGAUAACUCCGGGAAACCGGGGCUAAUACCGGAUAACAUUUUGAACCGCAUGGUUCGAAAUUGAAAGGCGGCUUCGGCUGUCACUUAUGGAUGGACCCGCGUCGCAUUAGCUAGUUGGUGAGGUAACGGCUCACCAAGGCAACGAUGCGUAGCCGACCUGAGGGGGUGUGCGGCCACACUGGGACGGGAACACGGCCCAGACUCCUACGGGAGGCAGCAGUAGGGAAUCUUCCGCAAUGGACGAAAGUCUGACGGAGCAACGCCGCGUGAGUGAUGAAGGCUUUCGGGUCGUAAAACUCUGUUGUUAGGGAAGAACAAGUGCUAGUUGAAUAAGCUGGCACCUUGACGGUACCUAACCAGAAAGCCACGGCUAACUACGUGCCAGCCGCCGCGGUAA